rfam:Bursaphelenchus xylophilus, Ka4C1 (inbred line), WGS project CADV01000000 data, contig: scaffold01144.12
GCCUCAAUAGCGCAGUGGCAGCGCGCCAGUCUCAUAAUCUGAAGGCCGUGAGUUCGAUCCUCACUUGGGGCA